rnacentral:pre_miRNA from 1 species
CCAAUACUCCCUCCGUCCGAAAAAGCUUGUCCCAAACUUGUCCCUCAAAUGAAUAUAUCUAGCACUAACUUGAUGCUAGAUACAUCCAUUUGAAGGACAAACUUUUUCGGACGGAGGGAGUACCCC